CUCAAUAUUUUACAACAUUUGCCAGAAAAAGCUGUGUGCAUGAUACAGCGCUGCUUUGAAUAUGUGAUUCAUUGCGAUUUGAUGGAAACUAUUAAGAUUAAGAGAGACGUGGUUUCUGUAGAACCGGGUGGCAUAAAGAGCAGUCCACAGCGUAUUUAUUUUAAAUGGAUAACCAGAGUAAGCAUCGUAGUACAUUUCAGCAUGGAUUUUAGGAUUGAAUGAAUUUCAAAGCAUAAAAACUGAAGAAAAAACAAUGGUUACCUGUAGAAGCAUUUCUGCAUUUAUUGCUGCUUGUUUCCACGAUGUUCUGAAGUUGAAAUUGACACACUGUUUUGUCAUGCGCCACAGGGGUCUACAAUGUGGUAAUAACACGAAAAAGCAUAAAUCUUUGUAACUGAGCCAAGCCAUUUCCGGGGAUUUAAGAGAAUCAUCGAAGGAUAUUCACUUCAGGAACAAUAUUUUACACCACAAUCAAUCAUUGCCUUAUAUCCAGUGACUUUCAUUGUGAUUGGGUAGAUCAGACCUACAAUGCAACAGAACUCGUUACGUCUUCUGAUCUACUCGUGUAAAGUACACAAAAUGCAACUGUGUUUAACUAAAUGGAUAAUUGAGGAUAGCGUAACUAUAGAGAAAAGGAGAUUGAGUUAUCGAUUCUUGAUGGUUUCCUCCUGAAACUGUUGAAAAGAAAAAAAACUUCCUUUCAGUGACAAUCAAGUUUGGAAAAAAUCAUGUGUGGACUAGUUCUUGACCUAGACGGACUGCACGACGCUCACAUUAAGAGAAUGAUUACCGUUGAAAGUAAUAUUUAACCAGGCCACCUGCCUUUUGUUUAUAAUAAUUAAUUUAAGCUCGAGUGUGCCGAAACCUAAUAGAACCACUCUCGUGUCCGUUUCCUGGGAAGAACCAGUAGUGGUGUCCAUUUUGAAAGGCCAUGAAGAAACACUCCUAGUGGGACUAGAACCCACAACCUUUUGGGGGAGAGGGGGACGCCUAUAUCACAAGAUCACUCUCACCUGCCUUUGGUGUUCCAGAAUUUGUGAUAGUUGUACAAAGUAUUUACAUGUCGGGUUAGUUGCUCCAGUGGGAAUCAGGCGUUUAAUUAUUCUUUAUGACUGAAUUAAAUUAUUUCAAUACGAGUUAUCCCUGAAUAUCAGAGGGCCUUAAUAUCUAGUUUAACGGUUUGUGAAAUCGGAGUUAUGUGCCAAAUUCUGGAGGAUGAAACUCAGUGUAUUUAUUCUAAUAUUGUUUGUGUUUUCUUUGAUAAUGGAUACAUAUAGUUGUGGCCGAUUGUCUGUAGAGAGUAAUGAGAAUGUCAGCCCGGAUACAAGCACAGCAAUACACAUGACAGGUGAACAAGUCUUAAACAUCACACCUCCUGUUGCUAAUUUAACGGGUCUUGUCAGUAAUAAUAGUGCAUAUAGUUAUUCCUUUGUAAAUUCGACCGUUUCAUUAACGAUCAAAGAAGGGAAAAGUCAACCGUUUUCUGAUAGUGACUUUAUUAAUGAACCUAAAAAGGAACUUCCAAUUGCAAUGAUAAUUGCAGCACCCGCCGCAGCUUUCGGUAUUUUUCUAUUUCUGUGCAUUGCUUUUUACUUUCAUAACGCGCAGUUAAACCAAAAUGCCAAGCGUCUUUCAUAUACCAUAUGCAUCAGUCCAGAUCAGAUCACCGAAAGCACAACAUGUGAUGGUAUUCAUAAUGAAACAAUCUGUCAAACGCCACAUAUAUUAGCUCCAGCUUCAACACCAGUUUUAGCCUCUCACUCACCGUCACCGUCACCUACAGGGUUUGGAUAUCAACAUUCCAGGGACAGCAAUUUGAGCAGUAUAAGCGUAAGGAGCAAUAAUAAUCAACGUCGGAAAAGCACGUUAACUGUACCGACGUUGAACGUACCGGGAAACCCGCCGACGGUUAAGCGCGGAUCUAAUUUGAGUGCCAUUGCAGAUCAUGAAUUAUUAAUUCUAUCAGCUCCUAGACGUCAUUCCACAUUCAUAUUUUAGUUAAGUUAUUACGCUUUCAUGAUUUUGCAACAUUUCUUUGUAUUGAUUGUCUAAAUGAUUUUAUAGAAAUUAGCGUAGAAUAUGAAUAUAAGAAAUUAACUUCUUUACAAAUAAUUUUGGUUGGAAGAUAAAACAGCCCUGUUGUUUCGUUUAAAACGGUAAACUUGCAAUAAUGUAAAAAAUGAUCGAAAUAUUUAAAUGAUGAAAGAUGUAUAUGCAUACAUUAAAUGAGAUUCAAUGCAUUGGAAGUUUGGUCCUGGUAGUUGCAUAGUUCUAUUUGUAUGCAUUGAAGAUAGCACAAGUUUAAAAUAUUUGAAAUACAACGAUGUUUCAAACAUAUCAGAAGAUAAGACUACUUGAAACCUAUAGAUUUAAAUACAUAUUUUAGCAGACAGGUAUUCUAAUCCUCGAUGUUAGUAAUUGUUAUCUCGGUUCUCCAUUUCCACAUUACUCGGUUUAAUAUAUAGAUCGUAUCAUAUUAAUUCGGGGGAAGAGUUUUCUGAAUGCAAAUCAGGAAACUUAAAACUUGUAAAAGCAUUUAAUACAUAUCGCGUUCUAACGAAUCUAGUCAGUAGCUUUGGACGGUAGAUGAAUUUUCAUGAGAGUUUGUUACAUUUUUACCUAGUUUCUUUGCAAUUGUGUAUACAUAUACUUACAAUAUUAAAUAUGUCGCAAAGACAA